rnacentral:tRNA from 1 species
GCGUCGGUGGUGCAUUGGUAGCACGCCCACUUUCAGUGGGAAAAGUCUGUUCGAUUCAGGCCCGGCGCUCCA